rnacentral:pre_miRNA from 15 species
AAAAAGAAGGGAACGGUUGCUGCUGAUGUAGUUCAAGUUUUGCACAAUUUAUAUCACAGUGGCUGUUCUUUUUUGUUUG